rnacentral:rRNA from 1 species
UAAGGAAUAUUGGUCAAUGGACGCAAUUCUGAACCAGCCAUGCCGCGUGAAGGAUGAAGGUCCUCUGGAUUGUAAACUUCUUUUAUCUGGGACGAAAACGGGAUUUUUAUCUCAAUUGACGGUACCAGAGGAAUAAGCACCGGCUAACUCCGUGCCAGCAGCCGCGGUAAUACGGAGGGUGCGAGCGUUAUCCGGAUUUACUGGGUUUAAAGGGUGCGUAGGUGGGCUUAUAAGUCAGUGGUGAAAUCUCCGAGCUUAACUUGGAAACUGCCGUUGAUACUAUAGGUCUUGAAUUAUCUGGAGGUAAGCGGAAUAUGUCAUGUAGCGGUGAAAUGCUUAGAUAUGACAUAGAACACCAAUUGCGAAGGCAGCUUACUACAUAUAAAUUGACGCUGAGGCACGAAAGCGUGGGGAUCAAACA